AUUGAACGCUGGCGGCAGGCCUAACACAUGCAAGUCGAGCGGAUGAAGGGAGCUUGCUCCUGGAUUCAUCGGCAGACGGGUGAGUAAUGCCUAUGAAUCUGCCUUGUCUUGGGGGAUAACGUCCUGAUACGGGCUCUAAUACCCCAUCCGUCCUGUUGGCGCCAUUGGGUGAUCUUCGGACCUCACGCUAUCAUAUUAGCCUAGGUCGGUUUAGCUAGUUGGUGGGGUAACGGCCUACCAAGGCGACUAUCCGUAACUGGUCUGAGAGGAUGAUCAGUCAGACGGGAACUGAGAAACGGCACAGACACCGACGGGAGGCAGCAGUGGGGAAUAUUGGACGAGGGGGGAAAGGCUGAUCCAGGCAUGCCGGGUGAAGGAAGAAGGUCUAAGGAUGGUAGAGCAAUGUAAGUCGGGAGGAAGGGAAGUAAGUUAACACCGGACUGUUAUGACGUUACCAACAGAAUAAGCACCGGCUAACUUCGUG
rnacentral:rRNA from 1 species